rnacentral:tRNA from 1 species
AUUAUAUUGGCAGAUUGAGUGCAUUAAAUUUAGAAUUUAAUUAGAUAAAUUUUAUUUAUAUUUAUAUAUAAUA